rnacentral:rRNA from 1 species
UACGUAGGCAGCAAGCGUUGUUCGGAGUUACUGGGCGUAAAGCGUGCGCAGGCGGCUUCUCAAGUCAGGGGUGAAAGCCCAGAGCUCAACUCUGGAAUUGCCUUUGAGACUGAGUGGCUUGAGUACGAGAGAGGUGAGUGGAAUUCCCAGUGUAGAGGUGAAAUUCGUAGAUAUUGGGAAGAACACCGGUGGCGAAGGCGGCUCACUGGCUCGUAACUGACGCUCAUGCACGGACAGCGUGGGGAUCAAACAGG